rnacentral:rRNA from 1 species
UACAGAGGUCUCAAGCGUUGUUCGGAUUCAUUGGGCGUAAAGGGUGCGUAGGUGGCGCCGUUAGUCAGGUGUGAAAUCUCGGGGCUUAACUCCGAAACUGCAUUUGAUACUGCGGUGCUUGAGGACUGGAGAGGAGACUGGAAUUUAUGGUGUAGCAGUGAAAUGCGUAGAUAUCAUAAGGAAGACCAGUGGCGAAGGCGGGUCUCUGGACAGUUCCUGACACUGAGACACGAAGGCCAGGGGAGCAAACGGG